AGUCAUAUGCUUGUCUCAAAGAUUAAGCCAUGCACGUGUCAGUAUAAGCUUUCACACGGCGAAACUGCGAAUGGCUCAUUAAAACAGUUAUAGUUUAUUUGGUGGUCAAAAUCCUAUAUGGAUAACUGUGGUAAUUCUAGAGCUAAUACAUGCAUAAAGCGCUGACUUCUCGGAAAGCGCGUAUUUAUUAGAUACAGAACCAAUGCCCUCGGGCUUUUUGGAGGACUCACAAUAAAUGAACGAAGCACAUGCUUUGCGGUGCUAGACCAUUCAAGUUUCUGACCUAUCAGCUUUCGACGGUAGGGUAUUGGCCUACCGUGGCAUUGACGGGUAACGGAGA
rnacentral:rRNA from 1 species